rnacentral:rRNA from 1 species
CCUACGGGAGGCAGCAGUAGGGAAUUUUCGUCCAUGGGCUCAAGCCUGAACGAGCGAUGCCGCGUGAGUGAAGAAGGCCUUCGGGUCGUAAAGCUCUGUUGCGGGGGAAAAAAGGCAGCAUCAGGAAAUGGGUGCUGACUGAUGGUGCCCCGCCAGCAAGUCACGGCUAACUACGUGCCCGCAGCCGCGGUAAUACGUAGGUGGCGAGCGUUAUCCGGAAGGAUUGGGCGUAAAGGGUGUGCAGGCGGUCCUGCAAGUCUGGAGUGAAACGCAGCAGCUCAACUCAUGAAUGGCUUUGGAAACUGGAGGACUGGAGAGCAGGAGAGGGCGGUGGAACUCCAUGUGUAGCGGUAAAAUGCGUAGAUAUAUGGAAGAACACCAGUGGCGAAGGCGGCCGCCUGGCCUGUUGCUGACGCUGAGGCACGAAAGCGUGGGGAGCAAAUAGGAUUAGAUACCCCUGUAGUC